rnacentral:rRNA from 1 species
UACGAAGGGUGCAAGCGUUACUCGGAAUUACUGGGCGUAAAGCGUGCGUAGGUGGUUUCUCAAGUCUGCUGUGAAAGCCCCGGGCUCAACCUGGGAAUUGCAGUGGAUACUGGGGAGCUAGAGUGCGGUAGAGGGUAGUGGAAUUCCCGGUGUAGCGGUGAAAUGCGUAGAGAUCGGGAGGAACACCAGUGGCGAAGGCGGCUACCUGGACCAGCACUGACACUGAGGCACGAAAGCGUGGGGAGCAAACAGG